rnacentral:sRNA from 1 species
GUCUUCUUUUACAGCACACCCGUUGGUGCGCGGGAAUAGGUGUGCAUGCCCCGGCCUGGGCCUUUUUCUGUUAACCCACGGCAUCACCUUAGCAAGGGUGUUGUCCUUUUCAGUCCAUUCCCUGAAGCGCAGAACCGGAGGCCUUGUGGGAACCUGGCUUUUUGUCCAGUCCUGUCCUCAGAACUCAAGGAGGCAUCACGGGGGGAGUCAUUUACCUCCCUGGCCUCAGGUGUCUCUCACAGGUAGGAUAAGCCGUGGGGCCUAUUAGUGGAUCGCACCCGGUGUCGUGCAUAAAAACAGCCCCUCGAGUCAGCCUUAGCUGUGGUCUCCCUCACGCUGGGGGCUCUUGGGCGAGUAUAAAUGAGCUGUGGCUACGCCUUAGAGUCUUCCAGCGUACAGUGGAACAGUACCUCUCUUUCGGAGUGCUUUGAAAAUUGCAAGGAAAAUACAUUUUCUGGUUUGCUUACACUCCUGAUCAUGUAGUUGGACCUGGAGCAGACAUUGAUCCCACUCAAAUAACCUUUCCCGGAUGCAUUUGUGUCAAAACUCCCUGCCUCCCUGGCACUUGCUCCUGUCUCCGCCAUGGAGAGAACUAUGAUGAUAACUCAUGCCUUAGAGAUAUAGGAUCUGGAGGAAAGUAUGCAGAGCCUGUUUUUGAAUGCAAUGUG